rnacentral:rRNA from 1 species
AGAAUCAACGCUGGCGGCGUGCCUAACACAUGCAAGUCGAACGAGAAAGUGGAGCAAUCCAUGAGUAAAGUGGCGACCGGGUGAGUAACACGUGACUACCUACCCUUGAGUGGGGAUAACCUCGGGAAACCGAGGCUAAUACCGCAUAAUAUCGAAAGAUCAAAGGAGUAAUCCGCUUUUGGAGGGGGUCGCGGCUGAUUAGCUAGUUGGUAGGGUAAUGGCCUACCAAGGCGAAGAUCGGUA